rnacentral:rRNA from 1 species
UACAGAGGUCCCAAGCGUUGUUCGGAUUCAUUGGGCGUAAAGGGUGCGUAGGUGGCGUCGUAAGUCGGGUGUGAAAUUUCGGAGCUUAACUCCGAAACUGCAUUCGAUACUGCGGUGCUUGAGGACUGGAGAGGAGACUGGAAUUUACGGUGUAGCAGUGAAAUGCGUAGAGAUCGUAAGGAAGACCAGUGGCGAAGGCGGGUCUCUGGACAGUUCCUGACACUGAGGCACGAAGGCCAGGGGAGCAAACGGG